AUCUAUUCAAGUUUUAUCACUUAAAAGUUUGCUAAAUACGAUUUUCAUACAAUGUACGGUGGACACUUAAAAUUGAAUAAACACGUUAAUACCUCCUUUAUCUGUCUAGAAAAAUGCUUCAAUUGUUUGUAUGAAUGCUUGACAUCGAAGGUUCGGAGUCUGAACAGUUGUACUGGGCGAAGAGAAGAAUAGUCUACAUAUAAGUGUUUAAAAGUUUCAAGAAAUUUGAUUAGUACUGAGUUGUACAUAUUAGUGAUGUUCUAAGGAUUGCUAAUCAGAAAACGAACAGCACUAAAGUUAGUACUUCACAUUCAAAACCUACGAUUUUUUCAAGAAUUGACAAUACUUUAUCUGUUCGAAAUUUGUCAAAAUAAAGACUCACUGAUAAUUUGUAAUCAAUAAUGAACUAAAAUUUUAAAAACAACAUUGGGAAUCUAACUUUUAAACAUAUAUGGGUAGUUAACAUUCGCAUCGCCGAUUUCAUACAAUAUCCACAACACUCAAUGUUGGUUACAC